ensembl:lncRNA
CAGAGGGAUACUGACACCUUCAUUAGCAGAGAUACUCUCCACCAUGUGAUGGGGAAGGGCCAAAGUGUUUGCACAAUCCUUAUUCAAGUAGUGAUUGCAGCCAGAGUCGACUCGAGACUUUGAGAUCUGUGGAGAAAGCUUAGUUCUAGUUCUUCAACGUUUGCAGAGGGCUCCAGGAGGGUAAAGAGGAGAGAAGGGGAAAGUGGGAAUAUUGCAACUUUAGAUAAUGCUGAAUCCAUGAAACAGAUAUAUAGAUAAUUUAGGUUUGGAGAAACAGAGGUUUGGGGAGACUUGGAGAAAUAACUGGAGUUUUGAAGAGCAGAGAUGAAGGCAGGAGCCCAUGGUUUCUUUUCCCUUCCUCCCAUUUCCCCCUGGGAUAUGAGACCUCCACCCCGAGUCAUGUCAGGCAGUAGAGAAUUCCCCUAAACUUAUGGAGGUGACCUGUUCCCCCUCCAGCCUCCUUGGAGGCAGCCUGUAUUGCUUGUGCUCCUGUGCACCUUGGUUCUCUGGGGUGGGAAAUGUUGGGACCAAGGAGAGAUUCUAGAGGUGGGACUAGGAAACCAAGGGUUUCCUCUUUCAGCUUUUCACCCUUAUCCCUUCCCAGAGCAUCAGCAGGGGAUGUUUUACCUGCAACAACUCCAUGCCAAUUUCCAUGCCAGCAGCUGAGUCAUUGUUGUCUCUACCUCCUCUCUAAGGCGUUCUCUUUUUUUGGCCAUCAGCAAGAACUUGGCUGUAGUUUAGUGCUCAGGUGCUAAUCAAUUUAUUUUCCUCCUUGAAUAAUUGGUUACAAGUUUCAGAAAAUGCAGAUUAUGUACAACAGAAAACACUGUGAUUAUUUCUCAAGGAUCAACAGAAGUAACUUACCAGGGUGCUUUUGAAACUUGGAGUCAUUUUAUUGUCCAAAGCAAAAUGAAAGAACAUGUUGGCAGUACCAGAAGCCAGAGAAUUUACUGCCUUUCACUGCUUUUCUUAUUGCUUUUCUUUUACUGUAAAUUUUUACUGCUUCCCUCUUUCGUAUUUGUAAGAUAACAGAAACUAUGACUCUUGCAGAAAGUGACCUAACACAGUUACCCUUGCAGCAAAGCCAAAAUAAAGCAUAAAAAAGACGAUAUUUCCAGCCCCUGGAACAUGGAUCUGGAAAUCCCUUGAAUUUGAUUUGACAGAUGGCUAGAAAAUAAUAUCAUCAUUCUAUGCACAAAGUGUGCCCACCCUAAUAUAGUUUUGACUCUUUUGGAAUUCUGACUUCAGCUUUAUUGCUGUCUUUAGGUAAAAUGCCCUUUUCCACUUGCCUUUAAUAGCUUUCAAGACUCCUGCUUCACGAAAGAUGUCUGUUUGGUCAUUUCUCCUGGGGCCACUUUGAUUUCUGUUGUGACAAAGGAUCUCCUGGUAGGAAGAUACACAAUUAAAGGUAACAGGAAGCAGCAAUUUCUCAUAUAUUUCUAAGCUUCAACAGAAUACGCAGUUGCCCUUCUUGCCAUUUGGUUCUGCUUCUCUGCUGAAAGAAAUAACAAUAUUUCAUUUGUUCUUUAAAAGGAUUCUGAAACCCUUUCAUCUGAGAUCUGAGAGCCAGAUUGUUAUUGGUAUCAGAAAUGCACCAAGGUCCCAUUGUGAAUGAUGAGUUACAGAGAGGUACAAGGAGUGGUUCUUGCCCCAAAAAUCUUAUAAACCGAGCAUAACAGGAAGGACAACAAACAAAUUUCUGGGGCUGCACAAGGAACUGAUGAGGAAUCACUGGUCGUCAUAGGAAGUGAGGUUUAUGCAACUAUAUGUAGCAGAUGACCAAUGUUUUCUCUGAGAUCUUGUGCUUAGAAAAAUAAAAAUAUUCACAGCUACAGUUCCAAAGCCACCAUACAGAAUUGGAGGAGGUUUUGCCAACAUUUCAAGUAUCUGUUUUUUAUUAUAACUCCUUUAGAUUAGCAGACAAUAUCUCUAAGUGUAUGGAAUCAUAGUACACUGAGUUAUCAUUUGUACUGCAACGUUUUAGUUGAUUCUGUACUUUUAUAUGGCACACAGUUGUAGCUUCUGAAUCAACUAUUGUAAUGGGUUGUUAAGAAGCUUAAACCUUUAAAUGAAUCUGCCUUUCGGUUGCAUAAUGGUUUCACAGAGUACAGCGUGUUGUACACUGUGUACCAUGCGAUUAAGGCUGCUUCUGUUGUUUAACUGAGAUAGAAAGUUUUUCAAAGCGAUAACACAUUUUUCUCUCAGUUAGUACUCUUAGUACAACCUGGAACACAGUAGGAAACAUGAUUUAACUGACCAUUCAGGUAAGAUAAUGCAAGAUAUAGCCUACACUCACAAGAUCUGCUCAUUUGCAUUUUUGCAGGAUGAACUGUGCAUGAAUUAUCUUUGAUUAAAAGCUGAUGUUUGUUACAUAUUACACUCUGGCAACGUAAAUGUGAACUAAAGAGUAACAGUCACAUAUUCAUGGUGACAAAAGUAGAGAUCAGCUAUUUUUCAGAGAAAGGCAACAGCCAGACUAAUUUCUCUAAGGCAUAAUUAUGACAAAGGCAUCAUAGUCAAUCACAUUAGUUGGCUGAGUUUUUAUUGCUGUCUGUAGUUUUGGUAUAAUUCCAUUAAGAGUUAUAUCAUCUGCCCUGGCCUGGCACUUGGCUUGUGCUGCAUGCUUUAGGUACUUGCAGACCAAAAGUAGCCAACAAGAAUAAAUGCACAACAGCUGCAAUGCACAGAUGGCAAAACGAAAUCUUAGACCCUCUAAUAAGUAGCAAAUAUGACUCCUGUGGGGAAGUAUCCAAGAACCAAAAUUAAAAUGCUUUAAGCAACAGCAGAUUAUAAUAGUUUAGUGUGAUGGUCUAGGAAUAAAGUCUGGCAUAAAUGCAAAAAGAUUUGUGAUGGAUUUUCAAUAAAGUUUCUAUUAGCUGGAGGGAAAGGAAUGAUUUUGUGCUUAUAUGGGUUUAGUGGCAAAUUUAGAGUGAUGUCUUCAAUGAAACACACAACUGCUUAAGCAUGAUCAAAGAAAAUAGAUAAAAAAAACUACUAUUCUUGUGUACAUUGUGAUUUUUGUUAGCAUAGUUGCAGGACUGACAUCUCUCAAAUUAAAGUUCCUGAAUAAAUUACCCAAAUCUAUGGGAAUGGUGUCGAAAUAAUGACAUUUUAGCUGUAUUUCUUUUCCUUAUCUGAAAACUUUCAGAAACAAAGUUAAUAAUUUUUGAGUUUCUCAAUAACUGAAGAAGCUUGAUUUUGUCCUGAAUUAAACCUAGAUGGUAACAGAACAAAGAAACAAUGUGAAUUUGUCUUGAUGGUGCAGUCUGACAUAUCGCAUAACACGGCGACCUAUUAAUGCUGCAGUACACAUUAGAACUACACAAAAUAGUAUAGUUGAGCUCAAAACACAAGAUUUGGUGAAUUGUUACUAUGGUUUUUUUGGAAAUAGAGGUUGUAAAAGCAAGGAGAAAGCUAUUAAUGAACGUGCAGAUACCCAGAUUUUCCAAUUAGCCUGAGUUUUGCUCAGCUUGUCUUCUGUGGCCUUUUGCAU